GUUGAUGUCAGUGAACAGAAAACGGUGAAAAAUCACAGCCCAGAAAGCACCUUCCAGGGUACUGAGCCGGCGACUUGUUGGAUGUGGCCUGUUGUAGCAGGAGAACAGUGUGGUGGCAAUAGUGGCUAUGCCACUGAGAGCCUAGGAAGGCUUCCGUCUCCCACGCCUGGAACAAGCUGGCACGCAGUACAUGUGCUGUGAAGAUCUGAUCGCAAGAAAAGAAAAAGAAUCUGCCUUGAAAGAAAAUGAAAGAGCAAGAACAGAACAAAGUUGGGCAGGCAGGCAGGCAUCCGCUGUAAUUUGUGAAGACUAAUGUUCCUAAACUGAACAAGCCGCGGCCAUACAGCUGAAAAUUGUGAGAUUGCCGAGAAGUGCCGAUAAUGGCCCGUUUCUGCACCGCGGAACCUGUUAGUUAUUUGAAACAGGGUCUGCCUCAGCAGAAGCCUGGAGUCGGGAAUCAAACCCAGUCAUUGAAACACCUGCCUCCUCUCCACCGUCAGCGUUCAUUAGAAUCACCUGCAGAGGUUGCUCGGCUCACUGCUGGGCUGGACCUGGAGGGUCCGAAGUGGGCCAGAGGAUUCGCUUGCCUAACAGGGUCACAGAAGCUUC